GCGAGCUUAGCUCAGCUGGUUAGAGCACCAGAUUGUGGCUCUGGGGGUCACGGGUUCGAAUCCCGUAGCUCGCCCA
rnacentral:tRNA from 2 species